rnacentral:lncRNA from 1 species
GUAGAUGUUCACAACUUUUAGGAACAAAUGCUAAGUUGGGAUUGGCGAAAAUUGUUCCUAAGGCUUCAACAUAUGUUGUUCCAAUAGUUUCAUCAUCCCAUGAUCCUCUAAAGUAAAGUCCUCUACUUUUUAUGGGAAUGCCUAUCAUGUCGCAAAUGAAUUUAUCUGUAAUGGAGAUGUGUUGUCCUAAAAGAUAGGUAGACAUUCUUUCUUCUUCAUCUAUUUGUAUGUUGUUGUAAAACAAUCUAAC